rnacentral:rRNA from 1 species
UCGGGAAUCUUAGACAAUGGGGGAAACCCUGAUCUAGCCAUGCCGCGUGAGUGACGAAGGCCCUAGGGUCGUAAAGCUCUUUCGCCAGGGAAGAUAAUGACGGUACCUGGUAAAGAAGUCCCGGCUAACUCCGUGCCAGCAGCCGCGGUAAUACGGAGGGGGCAAGCGUUGUUCGGAAUUACUGGGCGUAAAGGGCGCGUAGGCGGUCUGUUGCGUCAGGUGUGAAAGCCCCGGGCUCAACCUGGGAGGUGCACUUGAUACGGGCGGACUGGAAUCCGGGAGAGGAUGGUGGAAUUCCCAGUGUAGAGGUGAAAUUCGUAGAUAUUGGGAAGAACACCGAUGGCGAAGGCAGCCAUCUGGCCCGGUAUUGACGCUGAGGCGCGAAAGCGUGGGGAGCAAACAGGAUUAGAUACCCCCGUAGUCC